CCAGCUGGAUUAUUAGCUUCAAUUUCUGUUUUUCAGAUUACAUUUAACCACCAUUUUUUAUGGUUGGCUUGGCAAUUUUAAGACAACCAGAUUUUUCAAUUAGCUCUACACUCAAGAGCACGAACACUAACAUAUCAGAAGAAAUCAAUCCCUCAAUUCUUUCAAUUCCUCCACCUGGUUUCCUUUCUCAAUCCAACAUAGAUAAGAAGAAAUAGAAUAGUAGGAAAAGGCAACAUUGAAGUUAAGCUUUGACAUUAUUAUUCUAUGAAGUUCUUUUUUAUUUAGUCAUCAAGAAACGUGGGAUGAGUUUCCUGUUCUUGCAAGCAGAUGGUUGGUUGUGAGGUGACCUCAGUUUCAGCCAUAACCUCUCAUAUAGAUAGAACUUUACCUCCGCCAGACAUUAUUUCUUCUAAUUUGUAAGUUAUUUAAGAAUUAAAGUUGAUUCUCUAUAUAGAAUUUUACCUUAGAACUGGAAGGCUUAAGACUUGGAAAUUAUACCAUUGCUUUCCUCAGUAAGCUGGAGAAUGGAUGCUCUGGAGUCUUUGUGAUGGUUGUAUCCUCUAGUUCACCUAAGGUAUCUGCUGAAGUGAUACUCUUUUAAACGUUUUUGCUUGCAUUUGUUAUGUUUUGCUCAUUUCUUUUAUUUUUUUAGAUAAUUUGGCGAGUUGUUGGGUCAAAAGGAACUGUACAAGUUGAGCGUGGAAAAGUAGAUGGAAAGCAUGGUUACUUGGUAAAGAUGGAAACUAACUUCAUAUUAUUGUAAUUAUGAUUAAUUAGAUUCUGAAACUUCUGUACUUCUGUUUUCUAUGAUAUAAGGUUUAAUCAUCUCUUGAAGUUCCUUCUUGAUUAGUGUGUGUCAGAUGACAUCCUUCUUUUGAAAUCUUAUUAUAUGCCAUCCCAGGUUUCACUAUACAGUGCAGAUGGGCAAUGCAAAAGCACUUUCCAUCCAUUCUGUGGAGUGCACGAAGAAUUAAAAUUUUUUAUACAUGAUAUUGUGCAAGCAAACCUGAAGGUUGGUUAAUGUAUAUUGUGGCUGUUGCAUCAUUCAUUCCACCAUCUGUGGACUGGUUUUUGUUGCUAUAAAGGAUGGUCAGUAUCUAUGUACCAAGAAAGUGCAAUUGGGUCAUUUACCAGGCAGUAGUGUUUAUUUAUAAACGUUUCAUUAUUCUCAUAAAACUAAGUUUUUCUAUUAGAUAAUAGCUAUACUAGCAUUGGAUGAACGUACGAGUUGAUUCAAUUUGACAGCAGUUUAAUACAGAUUCCCACAUUUCUUUACAUGUUCUUGUGACUUCUCUCCCCCAGAACAGUUCUGAUACUAUUUUUGGGCUUGGGGAAGCAAAGGUUUGAACAUGGGCUAUAAGCAAAGGAUAGAUUCACCUGUCAUUGAACAAGAUACUUUAAGUGCUGUUUUCCUUUUUCUUUUUUAUACAAUUAGACGACAUUCUGGGGCUUCCUGGACUGAAUUGAAUUAUGAAUGUUGAAAGGCAAUGCUAAACUUGUUUGCACUUGUACUUGGAAUGCUUCAAAUGAGUUUCUAAAUGUCACUUCUAAGAGAUACCCCUCAUCCUCUGUUUUGCAGCAGGGAAAUGGCUAUGAAGCUGAGCCACG
rnacentral:lncRNA from 1 species